GUCCUCGUUUUGGCAGCACAUACACUAAAAGUAGAAUGAUACAGAGAAGAUUCACAUCCCCCUGCUUAGGGAUGACAUGAAAUUUAAUGAAGCAUUCCAUAUUUUU